CUGAACAUAAUCUUUCUUGGCAGGAGACAGUUAAAUAACAAAGAUUCGAGAAAUUCAGUGCUUCUAUCACUAUUAGCAGAUACCACGAAGAAAACAAAAUCUAGGUGCUCAAAUAAAGAGAGGAUUAUACCAGACCACGAACGAACAAUUAAAUGACCUUCACAAACUUAUCCUGAACUGAAAUGCCCAGAACCUGCAGAAAAACAAAAAAUGUACCUUGAGACUGAUUCAAACACAAAGUAGAGCAGAAAGAGGGAAAGCAGCUGGCGACAAUUGUCUUCUCUGAAGGUCCCCAGGAGUUCUAAAAUACACAAGCAAAAGGAAAUAUUUCAAUUAAGACAUCAAUCACAGAAAUUAACCUACAAAAUACACAAAAAACCUAAAUUUUAGAACCUAAUGUGAAAGGAGAAAGAGGACUUGCAUCUCGAUUUCAGCAAAGAGUGUUAUGUCCUUCUUCAAAAUACACCGAUUCUACCAAAUUUCUGCGGAUUCUACCAAAUUUUUGCCGAUUCAAAAUACACCGAUUCUACCAAAUUUCUUCAAAAUACACUGAUUCUACCAAAUUAACAGAGAAAAUAAACUUAAAACCCACAUGCAUGAAGAAAGAAAGACAAAAAAGCAAAUUCAAAGACUGAAAGAGCAAAAUCAAAGCAAAAUCGAAGAGGAAUUUGUAUGAAAGAGCAAAAUCAAAUAAACUUACAUCCAAUUGAUUGAUAGAUCUGAAGUUUUCUUUCAUAUCUCUUUUAUUUUGCAACAGAGGAGGCGCUGAAG
rnacentral:lncRNA from 1 species